rnacentral:lncRNA from 1 species
ACCGAUUGAGUAGAAGAGAAUCCCUGAAUUGCAGCAGAUCGAAGAAAGAAAGAAAGAAAGAGAAAUUGAUUUGGGAAAAAUGAUUUUAUUAGGGUUUAGAGUUUUACCGAGAGAGUCAAAAGUCAAAAGAGAGAGGUAAACUCAAACCGUUUAGUUAACUAUUAUUAAUCAUCAAUUUAGAUAAUUAAGAAGGAAAGAAGAGUUUUUUGGUGUGUCACUGCCAAUGAGAUGAGAAGAGUGAACCGUUUUUGCUUACGUGGCAAGAUGUGAAUUACUGAGUGACGAAACAGAACGGUUAAUAUGAUAAAGUUAAACCACCCACGUAGCUUGAGGUCUUUUAACCAAUCAAAAACUUGACAUUUGUCACGUAGGAUUUUUGAGUUAAUGUCCACCCGUUCCUCGCUCGAGUGACAUGGACUAUAAAUAUAAAGGUCACGGUGGGAAAAAAAGUUACUAUUAGUAAAGAGUAUAAAGAAAAAAAAUUGAAAGAAAGUUAACC